rnacentral:lncRNA from 1 species
AGACAUGUCAUGCAUGAUGAGUUCUCAGUGUUUCGGUCUCUCUAUAUAAAAGAAGAAACUCGUUAGCAACUUGAAAACAACAAGUCAUAGUACAAGAUAUGUGUGUGACAUGGUCCUUAAAUUUUAACUUUUUCAAGAACAAUUCAUUUAUAACUCACACAAACCAAACACAACUUUAUUAUUAGGUUCGUUGUGUUUUUUUUAUCAUCCUGAUAGCUAGCAUGACUUCAUCACCGUUAAUAUUCACAAUGAGGAGGUUACAAUCAG